CUGACAGCUGUAGAGAUUUAAGCCCUCUCUGUAUUCACUGAACAGGUACAGCACAUGCCAAAGCAGCAUAAGCUCCUAUUUCACCUACACACAUAACACUGUGCCUCAGUCCUGACCUGGGCAGGCCAUUUUUAAAGGGGAGAGGGGAGUACAUUCACUGUCUAUUGAUGUUACUGGCCUCA
rnacentral:sRNA from 1 species